UUCUAUUAUUACAUAAAGUUAAUAUAAUUAACUUUAUAUAAUUAAGUUAAUAUUAAAUAUAAAGUUAAUAUAGUGAUAAAAAGAUAUGUCCGUAUUGACAGAUAAUUGGAUAAAAUAUUUUUACUCCCGUAGAUCGAGUUUCACACUAUGAUACGAUACGAAUAUAUAGAUAAUAGAUGAACGAGAUCUUCGCGCUGGCGCAAAACUCCCACCAUGGACGUCUUCGGCACGCGCUAGGUUCGAGGGGCGAUUCAACAUUUCCACGCCAAAUCGAGUUCGGCUUUUUCCCCGACACGAUGUAAUCCGUUCCGACCUCGUGAUACAGUGAAAGAGAUUGAAAUACAAAAAACAUUGUGCAUGUAGUAUUUUUCAAUUUUUGUUGGAGUUAUUAAUUGUUAAACAAAUACAUAUCGAUAGUUGUAAAAAUGCAUAGUUGUAAAACUGUGUGAAAAAAGUGAAGGAUUACUUUAAUUAUUUAAUUUAGUUAGACAGGGUGGCGCGAAAUGAAAUAUCGAAAUAAAUGCGCGGUAGAUCAUUGUAUCAAAUAAUCACUUUUGUGGUAACUAGGGCAACUUCGCAUUCAGGAAAGAGGAGUAAAAAUUGUGUACACAAAAUCUCACGCGUUCAAGUGAAUGAACGAAGAUACACAAGUGACGUACCGCGAAUGUUCAAAGAAACCAACGCAAAUGCAAGAAAGUGCAGCUCUCUUCUAUCGUAUUGCGCAUUUCUACAGAUAGCAACGCGAGAGCAAGCAACCGGAGGGAUCUUCUCGCGAGAAAAACCGUUCGACUCGUUGACGCUUCCGGCAAGAUGUAGAUUGAAAUCCGCCGACAACGUCGAUCAUAACCCGGGAUUUCAAUAACGGAUCUUCUCACGGGUUCUCGAACGUCAAUUCUAUCCGAAGAAGACGCUGCGUUUCGCAAAAUAAAUCAUCGCGCGACAGCUGCUGCGAUGAUCUCAAGGCGAAUUUAAUAGCAAAAAUACAAAUAGAAGAGAUAUUCGCAAAGCGCAGAUAUUUGUUCAUUCGAUUUGAAAUUCGGUCGCGAAGUCGAUUGUUACUCUUUUACUUACCACUCGGAAAACAAUUACAAAAAAAAAGUAGAAUGAUUUCGGGUACGGCAGCAAACAUCACCGGAGUGCUUCAGGAUUCCUGGAGGCUCCCGAAGGACAGCAAUAUACAGGGGUUUCGUUCCACGGUCGACGGCGUCGUUCACGCUGCGAAUCCGCGAUACGAAAAUUACACGAACAUGAUCGUCCCCUUCUUGAAAGACGAAGAAGAUCCCGCGUCGAUCCGCCGGGAUCCCCUGUACAUCGUGCUGCCGAUCACGGUGAUCUACGCCGUGAUCUUCUUCACCGGGGUGAUCGGCAACAUCUCCACAUGCGUGGUAAUCGCGCGCAACAAGUCCAUGCACACCGCCACCAAUUACUACCUCUUCAGCCUCGCGGUGUCCGACCUGCUUCUACUCGUGUUCGGGCUGCCGCCGGAGAUGUAUUACAUAUGGUCGAACUUCCCGUACAUAUUCGGCGAGGCGUUCUGCAUUAUCCAGAGCUUCGCCUCGGAGACCUCGACCAACGCCACCGUUCUGACCAUCACGGCCUUCACCAUAGAGAGAUACGUGGCGAUCUGCCACCCGUUUAUCUCGCACACAAUGUCGAAACUGUCCCGGGCGGUAAAGUUCGUGAUGGCGAUUUGGCUGCUGGCCCUCUGCCUCGCCGUACCACAGGCCAUCCAAUUCGGCAUCAUCUACUCCGACUACAACGGCACCGUCAUCAUGGACAGCGCUAGGUGCUCACGUCGGUGGACCCUAAUCGAGCACGCCUUCGAGAUCUCAACUAUCCUGUUCUUCGUGCUGCCGAUGACAAUUAUCACCGUGCUGUACGUGUUGAUCGCCAUCAAGCUGCGACGCUCGACCCUGCUGACCACCGUCAGUAAGAGGCAUCACGCUCCCGGUGUGUUGAAUCACAUGGACAGCAGCAGAGGAAAGACGAACGCUCAGAGAAACGUUAUUCGCAUGCUCGUCGCGGUGGUGGUAGCCUUUUUUAUUUGCUGGGCGCCAUUUCACGCUCAGAGGUUGCUGGCUGUAUACGGUGAGAACAGUUCCGGGUCGGAAGAUACCAUGGUCAUAGUCUACACCACGCUCACCUACGUAUCGGGAGUGUUCUACUAUUUGUCCGCCACGGUGAAUCCGCUUCUCUACAAUAUCAUGUCUAACAAGUUCAGAGAGGCUUUCAAGUCGAUGCUGCCCAAAUAUUGCAUCAGAAAGUUCUCGUCUCGCAAGGGUAACCGUCGACAGCCGACUUACAGUAGUCUGUCGCGGUAUCACCGAUCGAUGAGGCAUCGAUUCGACGACGUCCAGCACUCACCCUCGAUAUCCGUCAGCGACGAACAGCAACGAUUAACGCAUAUUGCUCUGGCUAACGCAAAUUUCUGCGAGCCGAAUGGACUCGCGAAACUGCAGAACGAACGAGAGGGGCGACCUACGAUCAAAGAAACCAUGGAUUGUCGAAAUUAUACCAGAAGAGUGUCCAGGGACUCUGACUGUAGCCAGCUUACCACGAUGACAUCGUUAAGCAAACAGGGCCUAAACAACGAAGGUAACAACAACGCAAACGAAUGUCUACUGAGGAUUCACAGGUCACCGAAGGCUGUCACUUUAGAAUUGAAUUUAAAUUAAUGGGAAGGUUCUCUUGAAGAUAGACACGCACACACGCACCCAUCCACGCACAUAAGAAGCAAGAAAUUAUGUUUUUAAAAAAUGUAAAUGCGCAAAAAAGAAAGACACUUUUGUUUCGCCUUUUGCUAAGCAGGAAUCUUCACGGAGAGACUGGGUCUCGGCACGAAAGGAUUCUUCGCGCAGCAUCGAAAGAAUUUAUCGAACAACCCGACGAAAGUGGCGAAAUCGAAACCGGACAAUGUUAUU
rnacentral:misc_RNA from 1 species